UACAGAGGGUGCGAGCGUUGUUCGGAAUUACUGGGCGUAAAGCGCGCGCAGGCGGCCUUUUAAGUCUGGCGGUUAAAUGCCGGGGCUCAACCCCGUUGCGUGCCGCGGAUACUGGGAGGCUGGAGACGAGUAGAGGCAAGCGGAAUUCCGGGUGUAGCGGUGGAAUGCGUAGAGAUCCGGAAGAACACCGGAGGCGAAGGCGGCUUGCUGGGCUCGGUCUGACGCUGAGGCGCGAAAGCGUGGGGAGCGAACAGG
rnacentral:rRNA from 1 species